rnacentral:lncRNA from 1 species
GCUGUGCGAGGGAGUUGCGGCGCCCUAGGGUUUCUGGAAGCUAUUUAGGGCUAUUAGUGUUUGGGCUUAUUGGGCCCGGUGUAAUUGGGUUUAAUUUGGGUUUUAAUUGGGUUUGGUAUAAUUUUGGGCCUUUAAUUUUUGGUUUGUAACUGGACAUUUUGGUUUUCAUUAUUUAUAUUUUGUAUUUUUUUAUUUUGUUUAUUUAUUUAAUUUUUUAUUUGAUUUGAUUCAGUAGGUAUGGCUCGAAAGCACAUAUGUUUCAGUAGAUUCGGUAGGUGUGGCUCGAAAGCACUUACGUUUCAGUAAAUUUAGUAGGUAUGGCUGGAAAGCACAUACGUUUCAAUAGAUUCUAUAGGUAUGGCUCGAAAGCACAUAAGUUUCAGUAGAUUCAAU